rnacentral:rRNA from 1 species
UACGGAGGGUGCAAGCGUUUAUCCGGAUUUACUGGGUUUAAAGGGUGUGUAGGCGGACUUUUAAGUCAGCGGUGAAAUCUCCGGGCUCAACCCGGAAACUGCCAUUGAUACUAUUAGUCUUGAAUCUUGUUGAGGUAGGCGGAACGGGUCAUGUAGCGGUGAAAUGCAUAGAUAUGACCCGGAACACCGAUUGCGAAGGCAGCCUACUAAGCAAGUAUUACGCUGAGGCACGAAAGC